AUUCAGCUGAUGAGUCCCAAACAGGACAAAACGCGAGUGAUAAGU
rnacentral:hammerhead_ribozyme from 1 species